CCUACGGGAGGCUGCAGCGGGGAAUAUUGGACAAUGGGGGGAACCCUGAUCCAGCCAUGCCGCGUGUGUGAAGAAGGCCCUCGGGUUGUAAAGCACUUUCAGUGAGGAAGAACGCCUGGUGGUUAAUACCCAUCAGGAAAGACAUCACUCACAGAAGAAGCACCGGCUAACUCCGUGCCAGCAGCCGCGGUAAUACGGAGGGUGCGAGCGUUAAUCGGAAUUACUGGGCGUAAAGCGCGCGUAGGUGGCUUGAUAAGCCGGUUGUGAAAGCCCCGGGCUCAACCUGGGAACGGCAUCCGGAACUGUCAAGCUAGAGUGCAGGAGAGGAAGGUAGAAUUCCCGGUGUAGCGGUGAAAUGCGUAGAGAUCGGGAGGAAUACCAGUGGCGAAGGCGGCCUUCUGGACUGACACUGACACUGAGGUGCGAAAGCGUGGGUAGCAAACAGGAUUAGAUACCCCGGUAGUC
rnacentral:rRNA from 1 species